rnacentral:misc_RNA from 1 species
AYGCGUUGUUGGYGAUGACAUUCGUCUUGAGGUGAURCGGUGUCAUGUUGCCUGAGUAUCCUGGUUUUGAGCUAUUGAGCUYAAAACACGUGGAUUAUCGGUUGGUGRCAMGGCAUCGCUUCCUUGRUUGAUGAAAGUCAUCCAAURAUGCAGUGGUUUGUUYSUUUUCUUCUCGCAUCGCUCGGUGCAUYCUGGGGUCAUUUYGGCUGUUGGCAGCUUGCUWGGCAAUUGAGCUUGGUGGGUUGCUACUGGUUGGGUGUCUUCGGGGAUGUCUACCGUAAAGGUGCAUGAGUGGUGUUUGGUUUGUUACGGGUAGUUGGCUCUUUGCUUGCGCAACAACUUCYACCCGGCAUACCUCUUCAGUCUUGUGUCAAUGCUUGUAUUGCAUUGAAUGCAYGGCGGGUUUCUUGUGUUGCAUGCCUAAUUAAUGGUAUCRCUUGAUGUAUUGGUUUUCCUUUCGUCUUGCGUCGCCUGUGCGAUGUGAGAUGAACCUUGAAGCAGCCUUYGUGACCCACUCUUUUGAUGCACWCGCAUUGAUUUUGUGSCCCAUUGASUGUUGCUUGGUCUCAUGGAUAUGGAACCUGGUGUGGGCA